GAUGAAGAACGUAGCGAAAUGCGAUAACUAAUGUGAAUUGCAGAAUUCAGUGAAUCAUCGAGUCUUUGAACGCACAUUGCGCCCCCUGGUAUUCCGGGGGGCAUGCCUGUCCGAGCGUCAUUGCUGCCCUCAAGCACGGCUUGUGUGUUGGGCUCCGUCCCCCCGGGGACGGGCCCGAAAGGCAGCGGCGGCACCGAGUCCGGUCCUCGAGCGUAUGGGGCUUUGUCACCCGCUCUGUAGGCCCGGCCGGCGCCAGCCGACAACCCAUCAUCCUUUUCAGGUUGACCUCGGAUCAGGUAGGGAUACCCGCUGAACUUAAGCAUAUAAAAGCGGAGGA
rnacentral:misc_RNA from 1 species